GACGAACGCUGGCGGCUUGCCUAAUACAUGCAAGUCGAACGCAGUGGGGACUGGUGAGUAACACGUGGGUAACCUCCCAUCAGAGGUGAUAACACUUGGAAACAGGUGCUAAACCGAUACUGAUGUAUGGACCCGCGGUGCAUUAGCUAGUUGGUGAGGUAACGGCUCACAAAGGCCACGAUGCAUAGCGAAGAUGAGAGGUUGAUGGGGCACACUGGGACUAAGCCAAGGCCGAGCAUCCUAAGAGCGGAAUCAGUGGAGGAUCUUCGGGAAAGGACAAAAGGCUGACAGGGCAGAGCCGGGUGAGUGAAGAGGGUUAUGGGGUCGUAAAGCUCUGUUGUUAGAGAAGCGGUAUCUAACCAGAAAGCCACGGCUAACUACGUGCCAGCAGCCGCGGUAAUAC
rnacentral:rRNA from 1 species